rnacentral:rRNA from 1 species
GCGCUGACGAGUGGCGGACGGGUGAGUAACGCGUAGGAAUCUGCCUUAUAGUGGGGGACAACGUGGGGAAACCCACGCUAAUACCGCAUACGCCCUACGGGGGAAAGGAGGGGAUCUUCGGACCUUGCACUAUUGGAUGAGCCUGCGUUGGAUUAGCUAGUUGGUAGGGUAAAGGCCUACCAAGGCGACGAUCCUUAGCUGGUCUGAGAGGACGAUCAGCCACACUGGAACUGAGACACGGUCCAGACUCC